CUCAUUUAAUGUUAAACUGUAGGAGAAUGACUUUACAUGAGAGGUAUUGUCUGUGGACUAAAUAUCCUUCAGAAAUCUUCUAGCAGCUAAUGCUUUUCAUCGUAGCAGUUUAUUUUUUUGCAGACCUUCCAAAGUUCUGGACAAAAGAUAUACAGAGGGAUUUCGUUUUGAAAUACCGAUUUGAGUGAAGAAUUUAUUUUUUUCAAGUAUGACUAUGCUUUUGGGCGUAACCACCACAUGUUAA